rnacentral:lncRNA from 1 species
UUUCUCGAGACUGUGAUCUAAAGUCACACUACCAAUAGAACAAAAUUACUUUUACCUUUUCAGUGUUUAUAGAAAUUCUGCAUUACUAAAUCUAAGUGUUUAGAUGUAUUCUUGUCUGACUGGCUGAUAACAAAUUUAAUCCUUUAGAUUCAUUUGCUUUUCUUCAAGAUAAAAUUUAGCAAGCAUUGCAACACUCUGCUCUCCACUCAGACUGCAGAGUUCACCAAGGAAAUUGUACAGCAGCCAGUGCAAUUGCUUUCUCUAGCAUCAUUUCAAAGGGUGAGAGAACAUGCUGGAAACCUUAGAUCAUGUCUUAUCCUGCUAUCAGCAGCAUGCAGACCCCAAGCACAGAACAGUCUUAUUGGUCAUGGCUGUUUGGUAGUGCCUAAUCUCAGUCUAUGAUUUUAGAGAUCUACUUAUUUGAUGCUUCAGUCUUCCCUGAUUGUGGUGAUGGAUGCCACACUGCACUCAAGAAUGAUGAAUUUGUUUCUGAUCUCUGAAGAAUCAAUGGUUAUAGCUUCUACCUAAAGCUGAUUCUACCUGCCAGGGCUUUCUACAUCAAUGUUCCAUAUCACCUUGAUGACACUAAGAUGAAAUUUAUCAGGAAAGUGGAAAAUAAGGCCUUCUGUACUCUGUGAACAUCUUUAAAUACAAUGGAUACUUUACAUGGCUCUGAUAAUCUUUUUUAUUUCACAUUUAGAGAAUAUCCUUCACAAGGAUCAUCUCAGCAGGAACUUUAAAAAGAAUCUCACCUUAUCACAGCACAGACUCCAUUCAGUCCACCUUGUUUGGAUUUAAUCCUGGCUGUGUCAACCAUUCAGUCCUAACUGAUCCAGGACUAAUCAUGAUGUCUUUCCAGGACUCAGUGACCUCACUCUGCAGGAUUGGACAUUUGGAAUGUGCAAGUGUGCAGCAAACUUCCUGCCUCUUGGUAUCAGCUCUCCCGAGGUGCUUUCUGCAAGUCCAAAUUUGUGAGUGAAGAAACUGCAAUGAUGCCAGAAAGCUGCUCUGAACUCUGAUGAUUGUCAGAAACUAUUUUGCUUGUGGGGUCAUUCAAUUUUGGCUGAAAUCAGUUCAGUGAAUAAUUUUGGUUUGCACAUAUAAAAAUAGAAAAUAUUUUUAAAUUGAGGGUUGUACUCAAGCUGUAAUUUGAAUACCUUGAAUGGUUCCAACUGUGGAUUCUGGGG